GUGCUCGCUUCGGCAACACAUAUACUAAAAUCAGAACGAUACAGAGAAGAUUAGCAUGGCCCCUGUGCAAGGAUGACAUGCAAAUUUGCGAAAUGUCCCAUAUUAAA
ensembl:snRNA U6 U6 spliceosomal RNA